rnacentral:rRNA from 1 species
UACGAAGGGGGCUAGCGUUGUUCGGAAUCACUGGGCGUAAAGGGCGCGUAGGCGGCCGAUCAAGUCGGGGGUGAAAGCCUGUGGCUCAACCACAGAAUGGCCUUCGAUACUGGUUGGCUCGAGACCGGAAGAGGUGAGUGGAACUGCGAGUGUAGAGGUGAAAUUCGUAGAUAUUGGGUGGAACACCGGUGGCGAAAGCGGCUCUCUGGUCCGGACCUGACGCUGAGGCGCGAAAGCGUGGGGAGCAAACAGG